UCCAGCUUGACGCUGGCAGUCUCGCUAGAGUGCCCAACUUAAUGAUGGCAACUAGCAACGAGGGUUGCGCUCGUUGCGGAACUUAAUCCAACACCUCACGGCACGAGCUGACGACAACCAUGCACCACCUGUCACCAGUGCCCGAAGGGGUCCUCUAUUUCUAAAGGAUUACACUGGGAUGUCAAACCCUGGUAAGGUUUUUCGCGUAGCAUCGAAUUAAACCACAUGCUCCACUGCUUGUGCGGGCCCCCGUCAAUUCCUUUGAGUUUUAACCUUGCGGCCGUACUCCCCAGGCGGAUCACUUAAUGCGUUAGCGGCGGCGCAGAAGGGGUCGAAGCCUCCUACACCUAGUGAUCAUCGUUUAAGGCCAGGACUAC
rnacentral:misc_RNA from 1 species